rnacentral:rRNA from 1 species
AGCUCCAAUAGCGUAUAUUAAAGUUGUUGCAGUUAAAAAGCUCGUAGUUGGAUUUCUGGUCGGAGCGACCGGUCGGCGUCCUUUGUGGCGUGUGCACUGUUGUCGGCUCCGUCCAUCCUAGUGGGAAGGCGCGUGGGCAUUCAUUUGUUCGCGCGUGGCCCCGCUACGUUUACUGUGAAAAAAUUAGAGUGUUUAAAGCAGGCGUUCGCUGUGAAUACAUUAGCAUGGAAUAAUGAGAUAGGACUUUGGUACUAUUUUGUUGGUUUGCGCACCAAGGUAAUGAUUAAUAGGGAUAGUUGGGGGUAUUCAUAUUCAAUUGUCAGAGGUGAAAUUCUUGGAUUUAUGGAAGAUGAACUUAUGCGAAAGCAUUUACCAAGGAUGUUUUCA